rnacentral:misc_RNA from 1 species
GAUGAAGAACGUAGCGAAAUGCGAUAAGUAAUGUGAAUUGCAGAAUUCAGUGAAUCAUCGAAUCUUUGAACGCACAUUGCGCCCGGUAGUAUUCUGCCGGGCAUGUCUGUUCGAGCGUCAUUUCAACCAUCAAGCCCCAGCGCUUGUGUUGGGGGCCUGCGGCUGCCGCAGCCCCCCAAAAGCAGUGGCGGGCUCGCUAUCACACCGAGUGCAGUAGUUCAUCUUCUCUCCGGUCUUGUGAGGCGGGUUCCGGCCGUGAAACACCCCACUACAUUCAAGGUUGACCUCGGAUCAGGUAGGAAUACCCGCUGAACUUAAGCAUAUCAAUAAGCGGAGGA